CUAUUAAAGAAAAAAAAAAGAGUUGGGAGAAAUAUUAUAAUACAAAACACACAUGAACUUUCCCUUGUAAUAGUAAGAUAAUUCUUAAUAGAAAAUACACAUCUAUUUGGUGGCAACAAAAUUUGGACCUCAAAGCUACCACAGGCACAAGAGAGUUGGUUUAUAGAGAGAAGAAACACAAAAACACGUUGUGAUAAAACUAUUUGGUCCCCUCCUCUGAACAGAAACAAAAUGCCUCUGCAUGCUAAGACCUUCGAUGGAUUAAGGUCAUAUAAGAUGAUCUUACAUAGUU
rnacentral:lncRNA from 1 species